rnacentral:rRNA from 1 species
CACGGUAGGGUGCGAGCGUUUGUCCGGAAUUAUUGGGCGUAAAGAGCUCGUAGGUGGUUUGUCGCGUUGUUCGUGAAAACUCACAACUCAAUUGUGGGCGUGCGGGCGAUACGGGCAGACUGGAGUACUGCAGGGGAGACUGGAAUUCCUGGUGUAGCGGUGGAAUGCGCAGAUAUCAGGAGGAACACCGGUGGCGAAGGCGGGUCUCUGGGCCGAAAUUGACGCUGAGGAGCGAAAGCGUGGGGAGCGAACAGG